rnacentral:lncRNA from 1 species
GCGAGUGAGGAAGAAGGCUCUCCAUCAAUGCGGCUUCAAUGAGAGGUGAUUGAGGAGAAGCUGAUGAAUCCAUUCUGCCUUUCCAAGGAGUUGAUGAUGCCAUGAAGAUGGUGCAUUGAGAGAGUUUGGAAACUCACAAAAACACAAGGGAAGUUCCCUUAGACUUUUAAAACUCUUUUCAAUCUUUUUCAUUCAUCUUACUCAUUGCUUGUGCUUGAAAAGAUACUUAAGAUGAUUAUGAUUGAAUUGUGAGAUUGUGUGCAUCAAGUGUGAUGCAGGAUAUUUAUUUUCUUGUUUUUGAUAGGUACUGAUGCACCUUUGGGAUAAUGUAUCAGGUACCAUUGCUUGAGCCUCACUAAAGAUGUUCCUGGUCAGUUCCUAGCUUCUCUAAGAUGGCUGAGAAGUCUGUUGAGAGGGGGAGAUCCAAACCAGUUCUAUGAAGAGGGCAAGCCGUGUGUGAAGUGUUGAUCAGCCUCAC